rnacentral:rRNA from 1 species
CAGCGCCACAAGUGGUGAUCAUAUUAUUGGGUCUAAAGCGUCCGUAGCCGGUUUGGUAAAUCUCUUGUGAAAUUGUUAGGCUUAACCUAACAACGUGCAGGAGAAACUGCCAGACUAGGAACCGGGAGAGGUUAGGAGAAUGCUGGGGGGAGCGGUAAAAUGCUAUAAUCCCCAGUGGACUACCAGUGGCGAAGGCGCCUAACCAGAACGGGUUCGACGGUGAGGGACGAAAGCUAGGGGAGCAAUCCGGAUUAGAUACCCGAGUAGUCC